rnacentral:rRNA from 1 species
GACGAACGCUGGCGGCGUGCUUAACACAUGCAAGUCGAACGGAAAGGCCCUGCUUUUGUGGGGUGCUCGAGUGGCGAACGGGUGAGUAACACGUGAGUAACCUGCCCUUGACUUUGGGAUAACUUCAGGAAACUGGGGCUAAUACCGGAUAGGAGCUCCUGCUGCAUGGUGGGGGUUGGAAAGUUACGGCGGUUGGGGAUGGACUCGCGGCUUAUCAGCUUGUUGGUGGGGUAGUGGCGUACCAAGGCUUUGACGGGUAGCCGGCCUGAGAGGGUGACCGGACACAUUGGGACUGAGAGAGGGCCCAGACUCCUACGGGAGGCAGCAGUGGGGAAUAUUGCACAAUGGGCGGAAGCCUGAUGAAGCAACGCCGCGUUCGGGAUGACGGCCUUCGGGUUAUAAACCGCUUUCGCCUGUGACGAAGCGUGAGUGACGGUAAUGGGUAAAGAAGCACCGGCUAACUACGUG